UGUGGGUCGAUCAGAGAAGAAGAAAACAGGGCAAACCCCUCACUGAUCUAGAUCUCCAAAUUCAAGGGCAAUUCGAGCCUAAAAUUAGUGCAUGAAUGCAUAUAAAUGAUCACCUAAACUAGGGAUCACAAGGCAAUUUGGGUGAAGCAUCAAGUGGUCAAGCCGGGCGGACACGCGUUUAAAAGGAAAGCUUUAAGGUGGUUGUUAUGAAGUCACGGAUGAUGAUCAAGCAUAGUGAAUGUUUUGGUCAAAAAUCACACAAGGAUAAUGUAACCAAGUCUGAUUUUUGUGAGGUUAGAUGCUUGGUUAAUUGAACAAAUGUGUGAACAAUAAUUGAAUGAAAUGAAUGAUCAACA